rnacentral:rRNA from 1 species
AGCAGCCGCGGUAAUUCCAGCUCCAAUAGCGUAUAUUAAAGUUGUUGCAGUUAAAAAGCUCGUAGUUGAAUUUCGGGAUUGGCGCAUCGGUCGUGCCUUACGGGGUAUGAACUGGUGCAGUCAAUUUCUCACCUUCUGGAGAACCGCGAUGUCCUUAAUUGGGUGCCGCGGGGAACCAGGACCUUUACUUUGAAAAAUUAGAGUGUUUAAAGCAGGCAUUUUUGCUUGAAUACAUUAGCAUGGAAUAAUAAAAUAGGACGGCAUGGUUCUAUUUUGUUGGUUUCUAGGACCACCGUAAUGAUUAAUAGGGAUAGUUGGGGGCAUUAGUAUUCAAUUGUCAGAGGUGAAAUCCUUGGAUUUAUUGAAGACUAACUACUGCGAAAGCAUUUGCCAAGGAUGUUUUCAUUAAUCAAGAACGAAAGUUAGGGGAUCGAAGACGAUCAGAUACCG